ensembl:lncRNA
UGUAGUAUGAAUUAUGUUCAAUUAAAGAAAUGUGAGAUUGUACACAGUUGUGACAUUUAUGCUUUCCACAAUGCUUUUUCUAUUCUAUUCUAUUCAACAUAAAUGAACCAUUUGAACAUACCUGUAUUCUCCUAAAUGUUUUGUCUUCACCAGCACCACCCACCAAUGUGUCCAUCAGCCAGCUCCCAGCCCGGCCUCUGGAGGGAGAAAAGGUCACUCUGUCCUGUCUGGGUCACGGUCACCUCCCAAUCCGUUCCUACAGGUGGUACCGUGUGUUCGGGGAGCAGUCAGUCCUGCUUAGAGAGGAUUCUGUGAGUUUGAGUCUCUCUGUGACCAGAGACGUGGGGCAGUUCCGCUGUUCUGCUCUGAACGAGAUGGGAGAGUGCAGUUCAGACACCACGCCUGUGAACGUUGAGUAUGCACCAGCUAUACUUCCCCUCUCCUUCUGUUCUGUGAAUGAUGGGGAGGUGAGGUGUGAGUGUGUGGUGGACUCUCACCCUGUGGCGCAGAUCAUUUGGACACCAUGGAGCAUUCAGGACAAUCAGACUCACAACAUCACUGACCUGCUCAACUGGAGGAUCCUGAGGUCCAUUCUCAUUGGGCCCAAGGUUGAUGACAUGGGUGACGUCCUCUGCAAUUCAACCAAUGAGCAUGGGAGUGCCUUCCUCAAACUCCCAUUCAUUGCAGGUGAAACGUCCGCCCAGCGGUCCCUGUUCUACGGAGGAGUUGGGGGCACCCUGUUGCUGGUGCUCUCCUUCGCCUCCUUUUUAUUUUGGAGAUUCUACUCCACCAAGAGAAGAGAUUGCCGUGUUGCACUGGAGGAGGUUGAGCUGAAGGGGGCACUGCAGGUGAUACACAAUGAUCCUACUGACUGCCCAGGUAAUACACUCACUCUGAUGGUGUCAGACGAGGACUUCCACAGUAAUGUGUAUGACACCGGGUACAGGGUCCAAGUUUAAAAUGGCCGUCUCCUCCUUUGUAUAAUGCUGGGAGGAUAACAUUUGGAGACGGGAGAUAUUAAAAAACACACUAGCACACAGACCARUAGAUAUGGAAAGAUGUUUAUUAGAACAAGAGGUGAGAGUGAGAACUGGACUCGGGAACAUCUUUGAAUGCUCAUCGUAGAAUCAUUUCCUGUGUUUGUUUAGGCAGCCCAGAGGCCCGUGUUCACUGGAUUUGAGGUCCAUGAGGCCUGGAGCUAAAUAACUGGGAGACAGACACACAGUCAGUUCUGUUUCACUUCUGUGUUGGUACAGUUCACUGGUGUAUUUAUUUACCAUACAAUUUUUUCUCCUUCAAUUCUGGGCAUGAAUGUUAAUAUUUAAUUAAGCUCCUUAAUGACUGAUCAAACCAUUUUGUCUGACUGUAAGGUAUCUAAUAAACAUGCAUUGAAAUUCUGUGUAAAUAAUCAUAUUGUAAUUACUUGGCAACAGAUCAUUUGAAUAAAUGAAAAGUGACCAUCAGUGCAUCAUGAUGAUACUGCGUAUGUAUGUUGACAUUGUGUGUUUGUGAGCAGGUGCAUAUGAGUGCGUGUCAAUGUGUGUGUGAGAGAGCGAGAUGGAGAGAGGGAGUUCAUUUAAGCCAUGCGUGUGGGCUCUCUAAGCGUGUAUCUGCCCUCAUGGCCAUACCUAGCCCUCAUGGCCAUACCCAGCCCUCAUGGCCAUACCCAGCCCACAGAUGACAGUGCGCUCCUCCAACUGAAAGAAAGUGUGAGCUUCAGCAUGUUGCAUUGACCACCCCCAGUACUGCAAGCCUCUGCACAUCACAGUCCAGACACACCAAUACAAAACAAAAGCGGACCCCGGCACACCUGUGGCGCCCCCCCCCCCCCCCCCCCACUCAUCCAUACUAUCCCAUACUAUCAACCCAAUCCCCCCUCCAUUAGUCCCCAUGGUCACUCAAUGGGAAAGAGCCACGUGCCUCUGCGCCACCAGCUCAAGAGCAUUUGUUCUCGGUUGUGGUUGACUUGUAAAGGAUUUGCCUCCAUAGACAGAAAAGCAGAGCGGAUAACUUUUUGGAAUUCGGCCUAGGGGGUCCUCUUCGACCUUUUGCUCACUCCGGGAUUCCACUCUCUCUCUUUCUCUCUCAGUCUUUCCCUGCGGAAAGGUUGACACUUAAGAGGGUUUAUUUUUCCUGAAGAACUCAGGUAAGAUGCAUCCUGGUACUUUAGCCCUGGUGCUGUUAUGCUGUGUUGCCAGAUUGGACCGUUUGGACUGAUUGGACUAAUAAGCAAGUGUAUACAGUAAAUCUGUGUGGAGUAAAGCCAUGUGGGGCACAGGUGGGCAAAGAGGGACACUUCUGUCCACGGGAGAAAACUAGCAGAGCUACUGAAUGAAAGCAUAUUUUUCUAAGACUAAUGAAAACUUGGUCUGAAGUGCAAUUAAAGGGUUAAGGGCUAAUUACAUUGAAAGCAUUCAGUACUAAUCAGAAUAUGAUAAUGCUUUAGUCUCUAAAGUGAAAUGAGUAAAUCACUGUCAUUUGAUUUUAUUACAAAGUAUGCUAUUUUUUAAAAUGCAGUCGUAACCCAUUCAGCAUUCUACAGGUGUUGACUUCAACGCUUGACCUCAAGUAACGGUCAAUGCAAGCAUGUUGAAUGUCAUCUGACUGUGGUUGGGCUCCCGAGUGGCGCAGUGGUUUAAGGCACUGCAUCUCAGUGCUAGAGGAGACACGGACACCCUGACACCCUGGUUCAAAUCCACGCUGUAUCACAACUGGCUGUGUACAAUUGGCCUAGCAUUGUAUGGGUUUGGCCAGUGUAAGCUGUCAUUGUAAAUAAGAAUUUGUUCUUAACUGACUAAAUAAAGGUUAAAUGGCCAAGAUGGAUGCAGAUGUUAUGAGGCAUCCAUUAAUCUCUGCAGUACAUUGGUGAUUGUUCUGUGUUACAAAUAGUAUUCACUUUGCAUUGAACCACUGAACUGAAUGUUUCUUUUCUAGUGCCUCGGGUGCAAGAUCAAUGAGUGAGACCGUUAGCUCUUCGUUUCCUCAACCCUAAAGGAACCUCUGGAUGUUUUAUCUUCUGGAAACAGGUGUUCCAGAGGUGUUAUGACUGUUGGCUGGAUGCUCAUGAAUCACUGUCUCAGGAAAUACCAUCCAGCUUUAAUAUCCAUCAUUUGUUGUUGGUUGGUUCUACAUGAGCAUUUCUUGGAGCCACUGCCCCUCCUCCACUCUCACUUUGAAAUGUAACACUUCCAUAUUUCAGUAUAACCACGCUUGUGGAGUGUUGGAGUAUUUUUGUAUGUGUUUGAGGUUACUGAGUUGACAUUUCUACAUUGCAUGCGGGUAGUAGAUAGCAUCAGUGGAUUGCACAGUGUUGACAGUGAUACAGAAAUCGAACAUUUCAGCUCAAAAUAGAGUCCAUACUGUCUCUGUGCAGCUACAGAGACACUUUGCCGUCCUGUGCUAUUGAAUAUGACACAUGUUCACGUGUGUCUCUGUAAAUAAGGAAGUGAUACUGUGUUGCUUCAUCUGGUUUGUGCUGAGUGUGUCACGUCUCUGCACUGUUGCUGAGUGAAGCAUUGCCUGGUUCUAUGCACCAUUGAUGCACCUGUCUAGGCUACGUCUGUGUGUUGUGUUCAGUGUGUGGGCACAGUGUGUGCCAUUGUGGCCUUCAGGCCUGGGGUCAGUUCUAUUUCAAUUCAGUCAAUCCAGGAUGUGAAAGAAAAAUAAAAUAAUGAUAACGAUAAGCAGCUAUUUGUAAUUCUGGACAUGCAAUUCACUUCCUGAAUUCACUGAAGUAAAAUGGAAUUGACCCCAGCCCUGCAACUUUGUGUAGUGGGACUUUAAAGGCAUCCGUAAACCGUCCAAUGGUUGACUCUAUUGCCUGUUCUCCAUGGUUGACUCUAUUGCCUGUGCCCCAUGGUUGACUCUAUUGCCUGUGCCCCAUGGUUGACUGUGUUGUCUGUGCCCCAUUGUUGACAUUUUAAGUGCCUGUGCCCCAUGGUUGACUCUAUUGCCUGUGCCCCAUGGUUGACUCUCAUGGCCUGUGCCCCAUGGUUGACUAUUGCCUGUGCCCCAUGGUUGACUCUAUUGCCUGUGCCCCAUGGUUGACUCUAGUGCUUGCCCCAUGGUUGACUCUAUUGCUGUGCCCCAUGGUUGACUCUAUGGCCUGUGCCCCAUGGGACUGUGCCUGUGCCCCUGGUUGACUGUGUUGUCUGUGCCCCAUGGUUGACUGUGUUGCCUGUGGUUGACUGUGUUCCUGUGCCCCAUGGUUGACUGUGUUGCCUUUGCCCAUGGUUGACUGUGUUGUCCUGUGCCCCAUGGUUGACUCUAUUGCCUGUGCCCCAUGGUUGACUGUGUUGCCUGUGCCCCAUGGUGACUGUGUUGUUUGUGCCCCAUGGUUGACUGUGUUGCCUGUGGUUGACUGUGUUUGCCUGUGCCCCAGGGUGACUGUUGUGCCUGUCCCAGGUUGACUGUUUUGCCUGUGCCCCAUGGUUGACUGUGUUGUCUUGCCCAUGGUUGACUCUUGUGCUGUGCCCCAUGGUUGACUGUUGUUUUUUGCCUGUGCCCCAUGGUUGACUGUGUUGUGUUUUGCCCCAUGGUUGACUGUGUUGCCUGUGGUUGACUGUGUUGCUGUGCCCCAUGGUUGACUUGUUUGCCUGUGCCCCAUGGUUGACUCUUGCCUGUCCCCAUGGUGACGUGUUGUCCUGUGCCCCUGGUUGACUGUGUUGUCUGUGCCCCAUGGUUGACUCUAUUGCCUGUGCCCCAUGGUUGACUCUAUUGCCUGUGCCCCAUGGUUGAUCAUUGCCUGUGCCCCAUGGUUGACUGUGUUGUCUGUGCCCCAUGGUUGACUGUGUGUCUGUGCCCCCUGGUUGACUCUUCCUGUCCCCAUGGUUGACUCUAUUGCCUGUCCCCAUGGUUUGACUGUGUUGUCUGUGCCCCAUUGUUGACUUUAUGC